rnacentral:rRNA from 1 species
UGCAGUCGAACGAUGAUGCCCAGCUUGCUGGGUUGAUUAGUGGCGAACGGGUGAGUAACACGUGAGUAACCUGCCCCUGACUCUGGGAUAAGCGUUGGAAACGACGUCUAAUACUGGAUAUGAUCACUGGCCGCAUGGUCUGGUGGUGGAAAGAUUUUUUGGUUGGGGAUGGACUCGCGGCCUAUCAGCUUGUUGGUGAGGUAAUGGCUCACCAAGGCGACGACGGGUAGCCGGCCUGAGAGGGUGACCGGCCACACUGGGACUGAGACACGGCCCAGACUCCUACGGGAGGCAGCAGUGGGGAAUAUUGCACAAUGGGCGAAAGCCUGAUGCAGCAACGCCGCGUGAGGGAUGACGGCCUUCGGGUUGUAAACCUCUUUUAGUAGGGAAGAAGCGAAAGUGACGGUACCUGCAGAAAAAGCACCGGCUAACUACGUGCCAGCAGCCGCGGUAAUACGUAGGGUGCAAGCGUUGUCCGGAAUUAUUGGGCGUAAAGAGCUCGUAGGCGGUUUGUCGCGUCUGCUGUGAAAUCCCGAGGCUCAACCUCGGGCUUGCAGUGGGUACGGGCAGACUAGAGUGCGGUAGGGGAGAUUGGAAUUCCUGGUGUAGCGGUGGAAUGCGCAGAUAUCAGGAGGAACACCGAUGGCGAAGGCAGAUCUCUGGGCCGUAACUGACGCUGAGGAGCGAAAGCGUGGGGAGCGAACAGGAUUAGAUACCCUGGUAGUCCACGCCGUAAACGUUGGGCGCUAGAUGUAGGGACCUUUCCACGGUUUCUGUGUCGUAGCUAACGCAUUAAGCGCCCCGCCUGGGGAGUACGGCCGCAAGGCUAAAACUCAAAGGAAUUGACGGGGGCCCGCACAAGCGGCGGAGCAUGCGGAUUAAUUCGAUGCAACGCGAAGAACCUUACCAAGGCUUGACAUACACCGGAAACGGCCAGAGAUGGUCGCCCCCUUGUGGUCGGUGUACAGGUGGUGCAUGGUUGUCGUCAGCUCGUGUCGUGAGAUGUUGGGUUAAGUCCCGCAACGAGCGCAACCCUCGUUCUAUGUUGCCAGCGGGUUAUGCCGGGGACUCAUAGGAGACUGCCGGGGUCAACUCGGAGGAAGGUGGGGAUGACGUCAAAUCAUCAUGCCCCUUAUGUCUUGGGCUUCACGCAUGCUACAAUGGCCGGUACAAAGGGCUGCGAUACCGUAAGGUGGAGCGAAUCCCAAAAAGCCGGUCUCAGUUCGGAUUGAGGUCUGCAACUCGACCUCAUGAAGUCGGAGUCGCUAGUAAUCGCAGAUCAGC